rnacentral:lncRNA from 1 species
GAAAAUUUAUAUAUAAACUUAGGGCUUUCCUUAUUUUGAAGCUUGAUUGAACAAUUAGUGACAGCCAAAAGCCCAGUAUUUUCUUGAGGCAAAUUCUCUCUAUCCUGACAGGGGCAGCAGUAGGGCGGCUGGGUGGUGGUGGUAAUAAGGCAAUAGGUGACAGUGGCAGGGUCAGCGACAGGGUCGACGGCAAUUGGAGGUCAGCGGUAGCGGCAAGGUCAGUU